GCAGCGCGGCCGCGUGUCCGGCGCGGGGGGGGCGCGGCGGGGAGCCGCGGGAGCGAGGGUGUCCGCGCCGCUGCCGGAGAUUGGGGAGCAUGGCUGCUAAGAAACUAAGAAGAGCAAGGUUGUCUCAGGAGCUGUGUGAAAGGCUGAGUCGCCACCAGAUCACUACUUGUCAGGACUUCUUAUGUCUUUCCCUCUUGGAGCUAAUGAAAGUGACAGGACAGAGCUACUAUGAUGUGAAGAAGCUGCUUUCUAAAGUCAGCCAAGCUUGUGCUCCCAAAAUGCAAACAGCUUACGAAAUGAAACUGAGGAAAUCUGUCAAUCCCUCUUCAGCCUUUUUGUCUACCACACUGCAUGGUUUGGAUGAAGUUUUGCAUGGGGGAGUGCCCUGUGGAUCUCUCACAGAGGUAACUAGCCCACCAGGUUGUGGCAAAACUCAGUUUUGUAUUAUGAUGAGUGUUCUGGCUACGCUGCCUGUAAGCAUGGGAGGACUAGAUGGGGCUGUUGUUUACAUUGACACAGAGUCUGCAUUCAGUGCCGAAAGGUUGGUUGAGAUAGCAGGAAACAGAUUCCCUAGUUAUUUUGACUCAGAUGAAAAGCUGUUCAGCAUGACCUGUAGCGUUCACCUGUACCGAGAGCUGACCUGUGACAGUGUACUGAAAAGGAUUCUGUCUUUGGAAGAAGAAAUGAUUUCAAAGAAAGUUAAACUCGUAAUAAUUGACUCUGUUGCUUCAGUUGUCAGAAAAGAGUUUGACACAAAACUUCAAGGCAACCUGGCAGAGAGAAGUAACUUCUUGGCUAAAGGAGCAUCAGUGUUGAAGUAUUUGGCAGAGGAGUUCUCAAUACCAGUUAUCUUGACGAAUCAGAUUACCACAUCACUGAGCAGUGGCCUGAUCCAGGCAGACCUGGUGUCUCCAGCUGAUGAUUUGUCCCUGUCUGAAGGAGCUUCUGGAAGUGGGACGAAGGAAUCUGGUGGUGUGACAGCAGCCCUUGGCAACACAUGGAGUCACAGUGUCAAUACCAGGCUCAUACUACAGUAUCAUGACUCGCCACUAAGACAGCUCCUGGUUGCAAAGUCCCCUGUUGCUCCCUUCUCUGCUUUUUUCUACACCAUUGAGAAAUCAGGCUUGGUUCUUCAAGAUGGAAAGGAUCAAACCAACUCGACCUGUGAAGGAACGAAUCCUGCCCUGCAGCCCAUACGAGUGAGGAACGCUGCCUUGAAAGAUACUUUGCUUCAUGCUCCUUAACCCAGCUGCUUUACUGCUGGGGCAGGAGGACACUCAGCCUGCAAACACCUGGGCUGCUUCAGGAAGCCUUUACUCACCUGCUGAGACCGAGAUGAGCGUCAGGUGUGAGCCAGAGUGAAGAUGGUUUCAUCACCAGCCCCUCAGAUCAGACGAGCCCAUAAGGACCUGCAGAUGGCUUUGGAAGAGCCCACAACCUCUUCUGGUGUUGUGAUGCUGCUGCCACUCUCCCAGCAAGUGGGAGACAAGCCAUCAGCUUGCCUUGGCUGCCUGUGAGCACCACAUCCUUGUUCUGCCCAAGGGUUGAAGGUGUUUGCUGUGAAAUGGGCUUCAGCAGAGCUCCUGUUGUCUCCGUGCAGUCUGUUGGGAGCACGCCUGCAGAAGUCACACGAAGGGUCCUGUGGGUCCCCGUGUCGAGAAGGAAACUCAGGCUAGAUCAGUUAUCUAAGGAGGAGUCAGCAGGAGCUUUGCACUGAGCGAAACAUUAGAACACUUGUUUGAGAAGAAAUGUGCUUUGGAAAACGUCAUCUGAAGAGGAAGCCCAGCUGCCCUGAUGGACAGCCCCUUGGCUCUGGCUCCCAAAAGGCCUUUCUUCAUGACGUGUUGUUAGCUCUGCUGAAGGCUUUUCGCCUUCACUCCUCUGUACGACCGUGCCAUGUGUGUUUGUACAUAAUCUUUCCUGUGAGACCCACCGUUCCUGCAAAGUUCUGGUGCCUGGGAAGGGAAGAAGCACCCUGGAGCUGCAGAUCUCCAAUGGAAACACAAAGGAGUUAACUGGCUGCUGCCUGCAGAGACUCUUUCAUGGGACUGUUCAGGUCUCUGGUGCUGGGAAGGAGCUGUCAUCUCCAGGAGGACCUAAGAUGGAAGGAAGGAGCACUGCAGCAGUCGAGAUCUGACAGCUUGGGAAAGAAAUUCCCCUCAUCUUCAACGAGAGAAGGAGGCCAGGAGGCCAGAGCCUGCACGCCAGGCCGUUUGGUUACUCCCACAGUGAACCGGCUGUGCCCAAACAAGGAGACUGGCAAUGUGACUGCGAACCAGCCAUCCUCAAGCUUAGGAGCUGGAGUCUCAGAGCUUCAGCUGGACCAACAGCUGCCCCUGAUGAACCCACACCUCACAGUCACCUAGUUCCAUAUCUGGGACUCCAGAUCAGCAGUGGCACCUGUGUCCCUCCUCCCCCAGAGAGCUGUGGAGCAGACUUCUUCCUCUUGCUGAGGGCAAAAACCUCUUCUGCGUGCUGCGUUUGUUUGCUGAACAGCACAAUAGCCCCUGAGAAACACAGGAAAAGUCCUUUGGGCUCGAUUUUUUUGCUCCAGCAAAGUGCCUAUGAGUUCAGUACAAACAGAUGACCAGAGGUGAGCACAGCUUGCAGCCCCGCUACACGCUGCAGCCUUUGCUCUCGGCUGCUGAGGUUUCGGAUGAUGUCAGUGUGGUGUCCUGAGGGCUGCUGUUGUCAUCAGAUAGCGAGGUGGAUAAGGCACAUGUUAUGAUGAGGCAUGUGUUGGGUUUAACCAUAGUGUCGUGCACGAAGCAGCCAGAGCAGCGCGUUUCCUGGUGCCGUGACAAAGCUCCUCGCGCGGCACGCAACAGAGAGAGGCCCGGCAGCACCACGCUUCAGCCGGCCGGUUCCUCCCUCAGAAACGUCCGCCUUUGGAACUCUUCCUUUCUUCUCCUGGUCUCGGUUUCACUUUUUAAUAUGUUUUUGAUUGUUGUUUAGCCUUUUACAAAGCGGGACCCCAAGGCAGCUGCUCCGAGCUGGACAGAGGUCAGGCACUUUCUGGAGGCUGCUGCAGUUCAGGCUGCCUGCUCUGCUCUGCCCCGGCCAGCCCUGAGCACGGCGGGCACAAAGGCUCUUUUCUGUCCCAGUGGCCUCCUGGCCAGGGCUGGCCCACGCAGGGGCUGUGCCCAGCGCUUUCCUGCCCACGGCAGCACUGCCGGCUCCAGAGCGCAAACACCAAGCAGGUUACUGCCUGUCAGGCCUCUGGAAGCCCAUCUCAGGUUCCCCGUUGCUACAGAGAAAGCAUUGAGUGCACUUUGUACCUAAACUGAACAAAACCCCCCCCCCCGUCUCAAGCCCUCUGAUUUCACCCACCUGCAUCUCACGCCCUCCUCUGCUCACUCUCCUGGGGUGCUCAAGGCUUAAUUGCUUGUGGGACAUGGGGCUAUGGUCUUAUCAGCCCAGGUGGUUUUGAUUGCUGAUCAUGUUCCUCGUGACGACAUGGUCAUACACUGAAUAAGGAAAAAAAACGGUGGAAGAGCAGAUAAAGGUGACCCAGUAAGUGUGCUGUGGCCAAGCCAUCUUUUUACACCAGCGUUGAUAAGGCCUCUUAUGAAGAUUGUUGGAGGAAACAAACAGCACAAUCCAAAGGGCAGAGUUUAUUGUGGACAAUAAAACAGUGACAUGAUAGGAAACAGCAUUACAGGCUUCCCCUCCCUCUCCAGGUCGGGAGGAAGGAGGAACCAAGAAUCUGUGCAGUCCCGUGUGCAGGUGCCACUGCUGGAAGAGUGUCUAUCUGACACUGCUGGUGUCCAGCUCAUCUGCUCCUUACGGGUAUUUAGAGUCACAGCUCCUGGGUUUAGCAACCAAAAUAAGACUUUAUUGGGGUUUUUUAGUUGUGGACACACAAGGAGUCUAAUCUGUCCUGUUUCUUUAGCACAGCCCAAAGCAGACUCUCAGUGCUGGAAGCCUAGCGCAGGUCAGAAGGAUUCCUGAAAGCAUCCAGCCUACCUUUCAGCUUGCAGGUGAGACAGAUGUACUUGCAGCACGCCCAGAGGUGAUCCAGCAUCCCUGGAAGAGGGUCACCGCUGCUUUGGCAAGGAGCCUCCUCUUCAAGGUAGAGCCUGACUCUGUUAGUGACGUGCUGGCCGCUGGUGAGGGAGGCUGGGUGACUCAGGUGAUGUAAAUAACCUGACGGAGUUUCCCCGAACGGUGAAGCGGUCAGAGGCUCGCUGCGCUUCUCUGUCCCAGUCAGCACUGGGGAACCAGCUGCUGAUACAAAAGAGAGAUGAACACUUGUGACAAACAAGGAGAGACUGUUUCUUUUCCCACUGCACGUUUGCCCCUUGGAAAGGAGCUGAUCGGGGAGGUCGCGGGGCCAAACUCUACAGCUGAGUUUCUUUAAGGCUGGAUAAUUUUAUGACCACUGUUAAGUGCUGUAAUUUAUGUAAACCAAGAUAAUGAUAAGUGGAAACAAAUCAACUCGUGUUUCAAAGCUUAUGUUCCCCAGGGACGGGGAUG